rnacentral:rRNA from 1 species
UCGAGCGAGUCUGCCUUGAAGAUCGGAGUGCUUGCACUCUGUGAAACAAGAUACAGGCUAGCGGCGGACGGGUGAGUAACACGUGGGUAACCUGCCCAAGAGAUCGGGAUAACACCUGGAAACAGAUGCUAAUACCGGAUAACAACAGAUGAUGCCUAUCAACUGUUUAAAAGAUGGUUCUGCUAUCACUCUUGGAUGGACCUGCGGUGCAUUAGCUAGUUGGUAGGGUAACGGCCUACCAAGGCGAUGAUGCAUAGCCGAGUUGAGAGACUGAUCGGCCACAUUGGGACUGAGACACGGCCCAAACUCCUACGGGAGGCAGCAGUAGGGAAUCUUCCACAAUGGACGCAAGUCUGAUGGAGCAACGCCGCGUGAGUGAAGAAGGGCUUCGGCUCGUAAAGCUCUGUUGUUGGUGAAGAAGGACAGGGGUAGUAACUGACCUUUGUUUGACGGUAAUCAAUUAGAAAGUCACGGCUAACUACGUGCCAGCAGCCGCGGUAAUACGUAGGUGGCAAGCGUUGUCCGGAUUUAUUGGGCGUAAAGCGAGUGCAGGCGGCUCGAUAAGUCUGAUGUGAAAGCCUUCGGCUCAACCGGAGAAUUGCAUCAGAAACUGUCGAGCUUGAGUACAGAAGAGGAGAGUGGAACUCCAUGUGUAGCGGUGAAAUGCGUAGAUAUAUGGAAGAACACCGGUGGCGAAGGCGGCUCUCUGGUCUGUUACUGACGCUGAGGCUCGAAAGCAUGGGUAGCGAACAGGAUUAGAUACCCUGGUAGUCCAUGCCGUAAACGAUGAGUGCUAAGUGUUGGGAGGUUUCCGCCUCUCAGUGCUGCAGCUAACGCA